rnacentral:lncRNA from 1 species
UGUUUCCUUUUUCUCUUGUCUUCAAAGGGGCUGUCAACUGUCCGAUCAUAAACCUGACAGCAUCAUAGCCCAUUCACACCUGUUCAGGAGGCUUCAGUUUGGUUGUGAACUGUGCUGUGUGUACAUCUGUAUGUGCUUCACAAGAGCCUGUCAUGCCUUUCCGAUUUGGAGGCAGAGAGAACUGAGAACUUGAGGGUCCACUGAGGCCUGGGGCACGGUGGUACCAGAAGAAAUGAAGGGGCCUUCUGCAUGGAACUGGUCCCCUGUUGACAGCACCUGGAUCUCUCCACUGGGCUCAAUGAGCAUAUCUACUGUCAGGAGGGAUUGGCACAUUGGCACUGUUGAAGACCUGUUUACUUCCAGACUUGGCACUAUAAAGAUGAACCAGUUCAGGCUCUGAGCCCAGGAUGGGUACAUUUAACAUAUCAGCCACGGCUAAAUCAUCUCUGUGGAGGAACCCGCCCACGAUGUAGGCCUCCGUGCCUUGGAUGAGAUUUUUUAUUCUUUUGAUUGCCUUGGGACUGUACAUCAGGUGAGUGGCCAGGCACAUAUGAUGAGUCUGGGGAAAGAGUACAUGAUUCUUGUUAAAA